rnacentral:rRNA from 1 species
GAUGAACGCUGGCGGCGUGCCUAACACAUGCAAGUCGAACGGGUACUUCGGUACCAGUGGCAAACGGGUGCGUAACACGUAGGUAUCUGCCUGAAAGACGGGGACAACAGAUGGAAACGUCUGCUAAUACCCGAUGGCGUCGUGAGACGAAAGGAGCAAUCCGCUUUCAGAGGAGCCUGCGGCCUAUCAGGUAGUUGGUGGGGUAAAGGCCUACCAAGCCGACGACGGGUAGGGGGCGUGAGAGCGUGGCCCCCCACACGGGGACUGAGACACGGCCCCGACUCCUACGGGAGGCAGCAGUGAGGGAUAUUGGGCAAUGGGCGCAAGCCUGACCCAGCGACGCCGCGUGGAGGACGAAGGGCUUCGGCUCGUAAACUCCUUUUCCUGCGGACGAGA